GAUGAACGCUGGCGGCGUGCCUAAUACAUGCAAGUCGAGCGAAUGGAUUAAGAGCUUGCUCUUAUGAAGUUAGCGGCGGACGGGUGAGUAACACGUGGGUAACCUGCCCAUAAGACUGGGAUAACUCCGGGAAACAGGGGCUAAUACCGGAUAACAUCUUGAACCGCAUGGAUCGAAAUUGAAAGGCGGCCUCGGCUGUAACUUAUGGAUGGACCCGCGUCGCAUUAGCCAGUUGGUGAGGUAACGGCUCACCAAGGCAACGAUGCGUAGCCGACCUGAGAGGGUGAUCGGCCACACUGGGACUGAGACACGGCCCAGACUCCUACGGGAGGCAGCAGUAGGGAAUCUUCCGCAAUGGACGAAAGUCUGACGGAGCAACGCCGCGUGAGUGGUGAAGGCUUUCGGGUCGUAAAACUCUGUUGUUAGGGAAGAACAAGUGCUAGUUGAAUAAGCUGGCACCUUGACGGUACCUAACCAGAAAGCCACGGCUAACUACGUGCCAGCAGCCGCAGUAA
rnacentral:rRNA from 1 species